GGAACAUCUGGCAACAUUGUAAUUAGUUUGUUUUCUAACCUCUGUGAAGUUUUCAUCAUUGAAUUGUUUUCAUUUCUGAUUAUUAAUUUACGUGUAUUGAUUGGUGGUCAUAUAUCUAGGUUUUACUUAAAACUUAAAUAUGGAUGAAGGGGAUGUUUUGAGUCGUCUCAGAAGAACAAUAGCAAGUGCUUGUAGAUUAUAUGAAACUACAAAACAAUUCCCACAUUCACAUUUGCACUUUGGAAUUUGGAUUUCUUGUCGGUCCCUGCUUCGAUUAGACGUGAAGUGAUAUCGAGCCAACCGAUAUCUCACGUUAGGAGUGCAGUCGUAACUUAAUUCUUAAAAGGAAGCCAAUCAGAGCGGAGUUUCUGAUCAACUUUGUUUAUGUGGCUACUGCUCUGCAAUGUGCUGUGAACCUGAUAUUUUGUAAUAUAAUAUAAGGGUUUAUAUUUGUA